UGGACGCUAAAGCACACCUCUGUGCUGAGAAGGGGCUGGGGCAGGUGUACUGGUAACAGGUGGGUUCCUCUACCACAGUGCUGUUGACACAGAAACUAAAGCCACAUGUGGCUGCUGAGCACUUAAAGGGACUGGUGUGAUUGAGGAAGUGCUUUUCUAAAAUGUAAUUUUAAUUAAAGAGCCACACAUGAUCGCUCCAUGAGCCAGCACAGCCCUGAAGGGCCUAGAGGAGUUGAAAGGCACGAUUCCACAAUACUUGUAAACUACGAAUCGUGCACCCAGGUGUUUGAGAAAGGCUCGCUGGGGGAUGUGGAAUUGAAGCUGGACGAAGGGUCUGCUUGUGUUCAGACUCGGAGGAGACAUGGGCAACAGGCACCCCGGGCUCCAGUUCCUGGGAGGGAGACUGCUGAGGACCUGAUCUCCUGUACGCUGAUGGAAAACUUCUAAUUCAAGUUCUUUUUCCUCCCUUCAGAGAAGGCAAAGUAGCAUGGAUCCGCUGUGAACUGGUGAAGCCUGGUCAGUCAUGGGCAGCACAGGCGCGACAGCUAAGCCAGAGAGACACCAGAUACCCUGGGCAACGAGUGCACCUGCACGCCGUCCACACCACCUGCUGCAGGCCGUCUACACCGCCUGUACUCACUAACAAGGGAG
rnacentral:lncRNA from 1 species